rnacentral:rRNA from 1 species
UGCAGUCGAGCGGACAGAUGGGAGCUUGCUCCCUGAUGUUAGCGGCGGACGGGUGAGUAACACGUGGGUAACCUGCCUGUAAGACUGGGAUAACUCCGGGAAACCGGGGCUAAUACCGGAUGGUUGUCUGAACCGCAUGGUUCAGACAUAAAAGGUGGCUUCGGCUACCACUUACAGAUGGACCCGCGGCGCAUUAGCUAGUUGGUGAGGUAACGGCUCACCAAGGCGACGAUGCGUAGCCGACCUGAGAGGGUGAUCGGCCACACUGGGACUGAGACACGGCCCAGACUCCUACGGGAGGCAGCAGUAGGGAAUCUUCCGCAAUGGACGAAAGUCUGACGGAGCAACGCCGCGUGAGUGAUGAAGGUUUUCGGAUCGUAAAGCUCUGUUGUUAGGGAAGAACAAGUGCCGUUCAAAUAGGGCGGCACCUUGACGGUACCUAACCAGAAAGCCACGGCUAACUACGUGCCAGCAGCCGCGGUAAUACGUAGGUGGCAAGCGUUGUCCGGAAUUAUUGGGCGUAAAGGGCUCGCAGGCGGUUUCUUAAGUCUGAUGUGAAAGCCCCCGGCUCAACCGGGGAGGGUCAUUGGAAACUGGGGAACUUGAGUGCAGAAGAGGAGAGUGGAAUUCCACGUGUAGCGGUGAAAUGCGUAGAGAUGUGGAGGAACACCAGUGGCGAAGGCGACUCUCUGGUCUGUAACUGACGCUGAGGAGCGAAAGCGUGGGGAGCGAACAGGAUUAGAUACCCUGGUAGUCCACGCCGUAAACGAUGAGUGCUAAGUGUUAGGGGGUUUCCGCCCCUUAGUGCUGCAGCUAACGCAUUAAGCACUCCGCCUGGGGAGUACGGUCGCAAGACUGAAACUCAAAGGAAUUGACGGGGGCCCGCACAAGCGGUGGAGCAUGUGGUUUAAUUCGAAGCAACGCGAAGAACCUUACCAGGUCUUGACAUCCUCUGACAAUCCUAGAGAUAGGACGUCCCCUUCGGGGGCAGAGUGACAGGUGGUGCA